UCCACCAAGUCUCAGUUGGUAGAUCAUGAGACUUUUAAUCUCAGGGUUGUGAGUUUGAGCCUCACAUUGGGCAAAGGAU